rnacentral:rRNA from 1 species
CCGGCGCACGGGUGAGUAACACGUAUCCAACCUGCCGUCUACUCUUGGACAGCCUUCUGAAAGGAAGAUUAAUACAAGAUGGCAUCAUGAGUCCGCAUGUUCACAUGAUUAAAGGUAUUCCGGUAGACGAUGGGGAUGCGUUCCAUUAGAUAGUAGGCGGGGUAACGGCCCACCUAGUCUUCGAUGGGUAGGGGUUCUGAGAGGAAGGUCCCCCACAUUGGAACUGAGACACGGUCCAAACUCCUACGGGAGGCAGCAUG